GCGAUGAUGAAUUUGAUUGUAUUGAUCAUCUGAGAUGAUUUCUGUCCUCUAAGAAGUUCUGAGCUU